GACGAACGCUGGAGGCGUGCUUAACACAAGCAAGUCGAACGAUGAAAUGGAGCUUGCUCCAUGGAUUAGUGGCGAACGGGUGAGUAACACGUGAAUAACCUGCCCUUAAUUUUGGAAUAACUCAGGGAAACCUGGGCUAAUACCGGAUAAGUAAACCUGUGGCAUCACAUGGUUUUGGAAAGUUUUUCGAUUAAGGAUGGAUUCGCGGCCUAUCAGCUUGGUGGUGAGGUAAGGGCUCACCAAGGCGACGACGGGUAGCCGGCCUGAGAGGGUGAACGGCCACACUGGGACUGAGACACGGCCCAGACUCCUACGGGAGGCAGCAGUGGGGAAUAUUGCGCAAUGGACGAAAGUCUGACGCAGCGACGCCUCGUGAGGGACGAAGGUCUUCGGAUUGUAAACCUCUUUGAGCAGGGACGAAGCGAAAGUGACGGUACCUGCAGAAGAAGCACCGGCUAACUAUGUGCCAGCCGCCGCCGUAA
rnacentral:rRNA from 1 species